AUGCCCUGUUCCAACAAAGACGCUGGCAGCGACGGCAGCGUGGUAACUCUACCCAGGGCUCUCAAGCUGCGGUUGGUGAGUUUCCAGCAGGAAAGUCAAUCAGUAAACAGCCCCGUGCGCCCCCAGUUCCACUCCCCACCCCCUUCAUUUUCCCUGGGCUGGCUGGGAACCUCACCCAGACACCAACAUAUCCCGCCCUCUCUCAGGCUCCCCGGCCGCGAUCGGAGAAGGGAACUGCAACAAGACUAUUGUGGCAGGGCCUGGGCUCUGGAAACAGUUCUCCUCCCUUCUCCGCCCCCCCUCCCCGAACCACUCUACCCCCACUGCCGCCUUGGCCCCUGGAGUUGGUGUUCUGAAGGAGAGGCGCGGGGUGCAGAGAGAAGGGGAGGGCAAACUGCCGCCCCCCACCCCACCCCCUCCUAGUUGAAUGUCAGCUUUGUUCCGGAAAACAAGGGAAGCAUUAGGCUGCUGCCCCCGGGGGAAACACAAAACUUCUUUUUGAAUCUCUGGAAGGACGGCUGACUGCGCUACGGGGCUCCUGGGAGAGAGGCCGAGACAGGAGAGGGAGCUAGCAGGGAAAAGAGUGCAGAAGAGAAGACACGGGGAGACACUCAACUGAGAGACAGAGACAAAGGCGAGCGAGUCGAAGAAAGAACGAGUAAGACGGAGACUAAAGGAGAAUUACACGGAAGGGGAGAAACCCUGGGAGACAGUGAAUCCUCGGCCGUGACAUAGAACAAGAGGAGAGGCCAAGUCUGGCCGGGAGGUGGGGGAGGGGAGCGGCGAACUAAGUCUCCGGCCAGCUCGAGUUCGGCGCAAAGGUGCUGUUCUGCCGAGAGACCGGCCCCGGCCAAGUGGCUGUUACCCAGCCGAGUGUAUGCGCGCCAGCUUCCUGCCCGGCCCCGAGCGGAGGAGCAGCCUGGGACGCUGCAGGCUCGGCCGGAAUCGCUGGGAGGCCGGGAAGCCGCGAGCAUUCACCGAGAAGUGGCACUUUGCCAUCCUGGGGAUGGAAGCGGCCUCGCUAGACCAGGCCUAAAAACCAUGAACCAAAGACACCAGCUCUAGCUCCAGAAUUAGCCACCCCUCUAUCCCGCACCACACUUCGUGGCAGCCGCACUCCGGGGGUUCCUUUCCUCCCUUCCCCCUCCUCCCCACGUUCUCCCGCUCCUGGGCCCCAUCACUGGUAAAAUGAAAGGGAAAAGGCUGUUAACAACUCUCUGUAGGAAACCUGGAAUUGGUCUUAGUCUCUGGGCUUGAUCCUUUGCACCCACUUAGUGUUGCAGGUUGCUUUGCCUCCCAGAGGAGCAAAAGGGGAAGCUUCCAGAGUUGAAGUGGUUCACAGAAAGAUGAUCCUGUAGUAAGUGAAUCCUCCAGCAAAUGUUAACGUAUAUUUAUUUUUCCAUUGAUGGUUUUAAUAUUCGCAAUCCUGGCCUCAGAGUGCAAAUGAACUCUUUAUCUGGGGGCAAGAAUUACAGUUUGCUUGAACUCACUUCCCCCCUCAUUCCCCUACUCCUUGGUUUCCCUGCUAGAUUUUCAAAACCCACUUUCUCCAGGGCUGUCUUUCUGAGAACUUUGACCCUGACCAGGGCCUAAGUCCUUGGCUAUAUCCAUGCGGUAGAGGCGAGAACGUUUUCCAUGCGUUCUCCCCUCUGACUCAGUAAUUCAGUUUGAGAACGAGAUUCUCCGCGUCUCCCUCUUCUCCUCCCCCCCCUCCCACCCCCGCCUUAACUCACUUGGUUUUUAACUUCCCCUAAAUCUCCCUUCUUGCUCAGAAAGGCACAGAGGAGGGGAAACCGAGAGGAAACACGCUGCCGCUGUGCGAAAUGCGGACCAUGUGUGGGAACGAUCCAGUCAAAGUGCAACUGCCAGCCAGGGGCAGUUGUGUGGGGGUGGGGCGGGAAGGGGAGAUUGGUUCUGAGUGUGGAAAGGGAGGGUCUGGGAGCUGGUUUAGGGAGAGGGGCGUCGGUGGGAGCGACAGAGCAGCAGACACUUUUAUUCUUCCGGGUGGGCAGACGUUAGACUCUCCCCGCCCCCAGCCCCCAUUCUUGUUAAGAAUCCUUUCUCUCGUGUCUUUUAUGGUAGGUGAUGAGCUAUGGAGGCUGCCGAAGUAAUAUCAGCAGUAGUGAGAUUAAGCUAAAGGAUACACUCUAGUUUACAGAGCUGAGGCAGCGGCCUAGGGUGAAAGAGCAAAAGGCCCUCUUUUCGACAGUUCAGAGGCUAGAAGGUUAUAGCAGCUUGAGUAUCAACAAAGGGAGACUGGGAAGAGAGAAGAGCCAGGGAAUGGAAGAUGAGCCACUGGGAGAGGAAGAGGGGGCAGCUGCUAAGAGCUCUCUGGCUGCUGUGGAAUAAUAAAAAAUAAUUAAUAAUGAUAAUAAGAAAAAAUCCCCGGGCUUUUAUUUCUAUAGAUUUCAUAUGGCUGUAUUAGGAAAUGUGCUGCCCUUGAAGCGGCCUCUUUUGCUUGCCCAGUUCUCUUCCUUACACCCACACCCACCCCCUUCCUGAGGAAGGGAAAGAGAAAGGGCUGCAGCUGACAAAUAUUAUCCAUUCUCCCCAUCGAUCGGAACAUAUACAGAUGUGAGAGCUUGAUGUGAGCUGCGAACCGGUGGAUCCACCCUUCUUUCUCUCCCGCUCUCUCUCCCCCUCCCGGAGGUUCAGGCUCGCCGCCCCCUUCUCCUUCCCCCCCCCCCUUUGUUCUCCUCCCCUUUCUCUCUCUUUAAAUAGAUUUCAAGGCGCUGCCUGUUGGAGAG
ensembl:lncRNA